CCAGGACAAGGUCAAGCAGUCUUCCCUCCAGGGUGACCCGUGUGGUUUCAGGCCCAGUCGCUAAACAGCUGCUGACCCCAAAAAGAGCACCAUGCAGCAGGACAAUCACCCUUCCCAAAACCUCCACGCCAAUGUAAUUUUUACUUCAGCUUCUUCUCUACACCCAUCAGCUACAGUGGUUAAAGGUUACCUCAUCAUUUUAUACCUGUUCGUUUAUAUCGGUUUAUUCCUCCAGGACGUCCCCCUUCAGUACGGAUGAGGAAUCGGAUGAAGAGAUGCCUCCAAAGAAGCAUCUCCAUUCACAGCCAAAAACCCUACAGCUCAGCUCAGCUCAGCACUGCUCCUCAGGCUGCCAAAGUCCCACAAACCAAGAGCUUGAAACUUUCUGCCCUUCCACCCAAAGAGCCUCAAGUUAAAUCCUCAGCAGCUCUGGUGACCAAGACAACAGUCACGGCCGUGGAGAGCGAGAGCGAGUGGACGGAAGGAAGUGAAAUGGAGGAGAUCAACCCCAAGCAGCUUCAGCGUGCCCAUAACCACGGCCAGAAUGGGAACAUGAACCACAACAAUGUCCAUGGGCUAACCGAGGCUGGGACUGGCAGCACUCUGAAGAGUAGCCUGGUUUCUCUCAGUGACUGGAGUGACUCUGAUGGUAUAUAAACCCAAAUUCUACAUUUUCCAUAGAAUUGCGCAUUUCCUCUCCUGCUCCAAAUAUGUGUGAUUGUCUAAUUCUUCACGUGAUUUCCAUGGGUGGCCCAUAAAGCAACAGAUUCAAACCUCACUUCCUAAAACUUGUGUGUGAGGCGCCUCGGUUAGUUCAGAAAUGAAAAAAUGGUAGCGUUCUGUUUCUACUUUGUGCACUUUUGAAAUGUAUAGUAAUACAAUAUUGAUAAUUGUAGAAAUGGUAACGAGGAUUGUCUGGCUGUUUCUCAGGGCUAACCAAGGCUGGGACUGGCAGAACUCGGGAGAUUAGCCUGGUUUCUCUCAGUGACUGGAGUGACUGAUGGUAUAUCAGGGGUGGUAGUAGCCUAGUGGCUACUCGCCUAUGAACCAGAAGACCCGGGUUCGAAUCCCACUUACUACCAUUGUGUCCCUGAGCAAGACACUUAACCCUAAAUUGCUCCAGGGAGACUGUCCCUGUAAUACUGAUUGUAAGUCGCUCUGGAUAAGGGCGUCUGAUAAAUGCUGUAAAUGUAAAUGUAAACACAAAUUCUACAUUUUCAAGCUGCGAAUUAUCAAGAAGGACUUGUCACCUACUCAGCC
rnacentral:lncRNA from 1 species